UCUCCGUUGGUGAACCAGCGGAGGGAUCAUUACCGAAGUUACCUUCAAAACCCACUGUGAACCUUACCUCUUGCCGCGUUGUCUCGGCGGGAGGCGGGUGGCGUGGCGCGCCCCACCGCGGGCCGCACCGCUCCCCGUCCCCGCCGGCAGCGCCAAACUCUAAAUGCACAGCGGACUGUACGUUCUGAUUUACAAAAAAAACAAGUUAAAACUUUCAACAACGGAUCUCUUGGUUCUG
rnacentral:misc_RNA from 1 species